UCUCUAGGUUUAUGAUCUCUCCCAUUCUGGGAGGGCAUUGUCUUUAGCCGCAUCCGUCUUCUUCCCCUCCUGUACCAUUACCUCCAACUGCCACUGAGGGCCUCCUCACCCGGAAGGCUCAGAGAAGGGGGGUGGGCACCUCACGUGCAGACAGCGUCCGCCUCUCUAGCCUUGGAGGACCACAGAGGUGGUGACAAAGCACCUCAAAUGUAGUUAUCAGAAUGACCCCAGAGGGUUGACUGAUUGGCGUGAGGGGUUUUUAAAAUACAUUUUCACUGGCGAGGUACAAGACGUGUGGCUGGGCAGGAGCCUCGCGUGGCUACCAUCGCCUCUGCUCCCAUGGGGAGUAAGAAUCGGGUCCCCACUUCGUGAGACUGUCCUGGGAUGGAUCAGGACACGGGCUGCUCCUUCAUAAUGUUGGCAUCUGUACCUCACCCUUUCACACAAGCUGUGUGUCCAAGUGUCUGAAGACCGAGUGGGACUUUCCCAAGGUUCCAAGCUGUUCUGCACAGACAAACCAGUGAGGGUUUGUGUCUGGCUGGCGGAAUUUCUUUGAAGACCUGCUUUCUUUGGAACAGCCUACCCAACGGUGAGAUUAGGGAGAGGGGUCCGUGGCCGGAACGGCACAAGGCUGCCCAUAUUUGCCAAAAGAACCAGGCAUUUGCUGAACAGCUGCACUGGGCAGGUCCAAUCCAUCUACACCCCCCAGUUUGCACUUGAGGAAACUGAGUCUCAGAGCAGAAGGAGACCAGUAAUUCUGGCUCCAGGACCAGGGCUAUGGGUGCAGGUCAGAGCUUCUCAGACUAUUGGGGAUGAAGGACUAAUUUUUUUCCCCCCUCCCGUCUGUCAUGGACCAAAAGAUUUUGUGAAUUAUAGACUGAGUGAAAACUGUGUUAGUUGACUAGGCCUGUUACAACAGCCUACCAAAGACUGGGUGACUGGAGACAUAGAAGCUUUAUUUCUCACAGUUCUGGAGCCCGUGAAGUCCAAGGUCAAGGUGCUAGCAGAUUUGGUGUCGGGUGAGAACACCCCCCUUCCUGGCUUGCAGAUGGUGGGCUUCUUGCUGUGUCCUCCUGUAGUGGAAAGGGAGGGAGGGGGAGAGAGGGCAGGCGGGAAGGAAGAAAGAAGUCCGUUCCUCUUUUUCUUCUUCUAAGGGCACUAAUCCCAUCGUGGGGGCACCACCCUCAUAACCUCACCUAAACCCAAUUAUUUGCCAAAGGCUUUGCCUCCAGAUACCAUCACUCUUGGUAUUAAGGCUUCAAUAGAUGGACUUUGAGGGACGUGAACAUUCAGUCCACAGUACUGAUUGACCAGGAAAAUGAAAUCGUAGUAAGGAAAAAAACACAAAGAUGUAACCUCCCAGCCUUUACUUUUUUUAGAGCAGUUUGAGGUUUAGAGCAAAUUGAACACCAAGUACGGAGAUCUCUCCUACAGCUCCGGCCCCUAGGCAUGUACCGCCCCCCCCCCCCCAUCCGCAUCUCACGCCCCAGCGCUGCAUUUCCAGAACUUGCUCUUGUCAGGGGCCAGGAACAAAGCGUUCUUGGCCUGGGUCAGUGGCCUGCACUCUAAGCGGGGCAUGUUGGGAUUCCUCCCCUAGCCCCACUUUCAGCCCUGAGUCUGUUUUGUGUGCGGGGCCCUGGGGACACGGAUGAGGAAGCCUGGGAGUGGGAAGAUGGGCAGACACCCUUCCCUCCGCACCCACGUGUCUCUGAGGCUGCAGUCACAGAGAAGAGCUUUGGCAAGCCCCUCAGGAUUCGGGAGAGCUGGCAGAGGAGAGAAGUAGCUCCUGUCUCCACCCAGCUUUUGGGGAAACAGAACAAAGUAGCACAUCUCCACCCUCGCCACCCCCCUGCUCCCCCCACCAAAGGAGGGUGCAGAAGAGAACAGUGAAGGGGGUGAGGGAGGGACCCGGACAAGGGCAUCUUUGUUUACGUGGUUUUCCUCCCUGCCGCUGCUGCAAGGGAAGCCAAGUCUGGGGCCACAAGGCACCACAUUGCUUCCAUUUCUCUCUCCCUGAAGGCGCCAUCACCCUCCCACUCACUCAGCAGGUGUUUAUUGAGCUCCAGAGUCCAGGCAGCCGGCCAGGUGCUGGGGAAAGACUGCUCAGAGGAGAGAGGGGGCAAAUAAAGUAUGCAAAUAAUAAAUGCAAGUUACAUUUCUCUGGGCUGCUGCUGAACGGCUCCCUGACCCCAAGGGACGGUCUUUUGGUCACCUGGGAAGACUGAAGGUCCUGGGCCUGAUUUAUCAGGAUGGUUUGAAGGAUCCUUCAUCCUUGACUGUGAAACAGGUCCUGGCGGACAAGGUCAGAGCCGCAGGGCAGAGCUCUGCCCACCUGGGCUUGUGGCAGAGCAGGUGGUUACCAUCUUGGAAAUCCUUUAAAGAAAAGUUAUUCGUGACACCUGUUAAAGAUGGGCAGGAAGACUUAUUUCAGGAGAAACUGCAGUGGCGUUUUGCAGUAGGGGAGACAGAUCAGGCUCAACUCUGACUACAAGGACAAGUGCCAGGGAGCAGGGUGGGGUCAGUGGACGGAAAAUGACAAGAGGAGACAUCAGGGCUGCGGGAUGUUUGCUAGACCAACUCACUAGGACUCUUUGGAAGGCAGGCCAUGGUGAUCAGAUACCAAGGGUUGGGAGAGGGAGUAGGGUUUUUCGCUAUACUGCCCCAGCAGGAUCCUUGUUAAAACCAAGGACAGAGCUCAAGGUUGGAGCCUGGUCAGAAAGAGGAUUCAGAGGAGCCAAUUCAAGUUUGGCCAAGGAGAGAGUCUUUGUCCUGACGAGCACCUUUUCUUUUGAAAGAGCACCUCUUGCCACACUGUGUCCUUGGCCUCAGGCAUGUCAUCGUCUCAGCAGGAAGCUUCUUUUCAUGCCCACAGCUGGCAGGAUCCUUUGUGUUUUGCCCUAACAAAGGAGCUAGGGCCAAAAUUCUGGAUGAAUCCUAGUUCCUCUCUUUUGAAAGGUGGCUGUAGGACCCAGGUGGAUGGAGACUUCUUCCAGUGUCUGCAGAUACUGAGCAUGAAUGCAAAAGGAUCCAUUUCAUGGUGGGAGGGGGGACACCUAUCAGACAGGAAGGGCUCCAUGCAAGGAGAGUUGCUGGAUUACUUUGCUUUUGGUAGGAGCAGUUUCUCCCACUGCUUCCGUAUCUGUUUGGUGGAGGCAAGUGGGUUUUCAACAAGAAAUCAUAAACCACAGUAUCAGAGGUGUCAGGGACAGAGGCCUACCUCUUCGUUUUAUAGAUGAGGAGCCCAACAUCCAGAGAGGUUAAUUCAUUUGCUGAGGAUCACCUAAGCUACAAAUAUCAGAAUUCAAGAACUUUACCUAUGUCUUCCACCUUCUGUCAUCACAGACAGCGCGUUCCUCUCCAGACUGCCCUAGCAUGGAGCUACAAGAAGGAACUACAUCACUCUGUUCGUGGCUUCCGGGCUGAUGUCCCCACCUCACCAGGGGACGCCAGACGAGGAUGUCGGCCCCUGAGACUUUCCUAGGAGAAGCAUGGCUAACGCCGUGGAGUGUUUCCACGGCCAGGAGCUAGCUAGCUGCUCCGUGUAUCUCAUCUGCUUUCUCUCUUACUCUCGAGAGCCAGCCUCUGAGGGAAGCAUGGUCAUUGUCUCCAUUUCUCAGGUGCCUGGGUACCCGCGGGCCAUACCGGUGACCACAUGGCCCCGCAGAAAACAGGGGAAGGCACUGCACAGCCAGCCACUGGCAAGACAGGGUUGAGGGGAAAUCACUGCUUCUGGUCCUUCGGGCAAAUUACCUACCACAUCUGAGGCCAGUUUCUUUAUCAGUGAAAUGGAGGUAACAUCUGCUUACCUGCUAGUGGGUGCUAGUGGGACCGGCUGGAAUUCAUGAAACCCCGACAAUCAAGAAAACAAUAGAUCAAGUUUGCUCAUAUCUGGGAGCACAUACCCCCCCCCCCCCCACGGCCGCUUGUGAGCUCUCAGUGUGACGUUGCUGAGGUCAGUCAUGAAGACAGGUGCUUCUUCCUGGUAGCUGGUGUUGCCAUCGUUCAGACGGCGGGGAAAAACGGAAGAGUGUGGAUUAACGGUAAAACACGGUAGUAAUGACUGAGUUUUGAUGACUGAUUACCUUUGUUUUUACCCAAGUUCAUUAAUUUUAGUAAGGAUUGUAUUUAACAGCAAAAUUCUGAAAAUGGGGCAGUGGGUUCUCGCGGAUGUGAUGCCAAGCUGUCUGCAGCAGGUGUGGCCACAGGGACCCUACACCGAGGGCAGCUCUGCCCCCCAGGAUGUCCGGAGGAGAGCCAGUUGCCUGGUGUCCUCUGAGGCCCUGUGGGGUCAGGUGGUUGUUAGGGCCCUUGAAAGCCAUGAACGACCUAUCCUUCCUCAUCCUCCACAUUCCUGCCUGGCGAGGAAGCCCGUCAGGAAACCGUCCUGACUGGCAGGCUGAAGACCAGGUGUGAAGUUGGGGACAUGAGGGAGAAUGUCACUCUGUUGCCCCACCCUCGCACACAAGGGCACCCUACUAUCCUCCUAGUUUCCUCUUAGGACAUGGCUGGGACUGGAGUCCCAGACCGGGGACACCCAUUACUGUUUUGGGGGUGUGUGUCUUUGGGCCAAGUAUUCUCCUGAGUCUCUGAGCCUCAGUUUCCUCAGAGCACAAUGGGAAUGCUCUGGCCAAUGGCUGUGAGGAGAGGGAUGGACAGGAGGCAGCUCACAGCUGCAUCCUCCACAGACCCCAGGGGCUGGGGUAGUUUUUCCCACACGAGUUCUUCAUGAGAGCUUCAGGGGACUGGAAACGUCCUCACAUCUCCAGAUCCCAUGACAAAGAGGAAUGACUUCCGUCUUCCACAAUUCAGGGGUGGGCGCAGCACCCAGGAGCUGUACAUUCUCAGCCAGAAGGACUUGCAGGGGAACAAAGUUGACGGUGUUGAGCAGGCCUUCCAGAGUGUUCUGUGAUCAGCCCCAGACUGAGCUUCUUCACUCUUUUUCCGUCUCUGUUUCACUCUUUUCUGCCUGUUUGGGUUUGGUCACUCUGAGCGCUAUGCAGGAGGCGUUUACUGUGGGGAAUCAGGCCACAUGCGGUUGUGAGAGCUGGUGAAGAAGUCCAGGGAAGGCUGUGCCUCUGGGUGGGCAGGGCUGGCUGUUGUAGAGAAAAGCAGAUGUGAAUGGGGGCAAGGAAAGGCUGGAAACCACGGGCACAGAGUGGCCCUGAGUCUAUCACCUCCCACCUCUGUGACGUGGUGACCUGUUGGAGCUGGCUGCACACAUACCUAGUCCGGGGCUCGGAACCCAUCGAUGAAACAGAGGCGCCACUGGACGGUUUCUGUCCGAGCCAACAGUGGGCACCGGUCACCCAACGACACUGUGGGAGCCACGAAAGCACCCAGCUUAGCCAAGUUGAUGUGGUGAAAAGCCACCACCGCACUAUGCUUCUGGGGUACCAAGUGCUUUUGGACCUUCUCAUCAUUCUUCCAGGUUCCUAUGCCUCUGCAUGGAGUGUUUGCUCCAGCCAUGGCACCUGGAAAACUCCUACAGCACCUUCAAAACCCUGCAGAGACAUCACCUCCUCUGAGAAGAAUUCCCUGACACCUGCCCUCCAGGACUAGUCCUGUACUUCACACCUGGUGACUGCCUCUGUUGUACCUGAGACAUGCCUCAAGGGGACAAGCUGUGCCUGUUUGACAGCUCAGGAAUUUAAACAUGCCUUUGUGGGAUGAAAUCGAAUACAUCAGUUCAUGAUGCUCUGCCAGCCAAGCUGGGGCUUCCCGUGUCCUGGGGUCACGUGAACGGAGCAGAGACACCGCCAGCGCCUAUGUUCUCCGGGACCUUCUUGAGCUGUGGCCGCUGCUCCAAAGUCCCAGGCAGCUGAUGCAGACCCGUGUCUGUGGCGCCCACGAAAGACGGUGCUUUCAUGAGAGCGGCCUGCCCUUUCUGAGCCCUUCUGCGAGCCGUGGGAUUCCAAAUGCUCUGAAUGCAUUAGCUGACGCUCACACGGUCCCCAUGAGAUAGACGCCCUGCGGCAGAUGAGGAAGCCAGCCUGGAGGAUCACAGUGCAAGGGGAAGUUCUAGAGCAAAGACGAGAAGGAGGGAUCUGUGUGUGGCGGGAUAGAACAAUAGUACAAGUUCAGACUCUAGGGGCUGUGCUGAAUAUGUACAAGAAAUUUCCUUCCCACGUGGUCCUCACGCCCUGCUGUGAUGGAGGGGGGCCAAGAGUCGGGUCGUGUGCUCCAGAGGGCCCAAGCCAGGGAAGGCGCAGACAGACACGAAGCUCAAACCAGCAAGCGGCCUUGGAAGAGGGAGAGUAAACAGGUCUAAAAGGAGGUGGCCCUUGGUUGUAAACAUUGGUCACAGCCACACCACUGGGUCGAGGGACCCAAGAAAGGCGUGUGGAUGGGUUUCCUCAGCGUGCAGAUGGGGACGUUGGGUGCGAAUGGGGGGGCCUCAGGGGCGGCAGAAGUGAUGGGGGAGGUAGUCGUUUAGUCUGGGACUCUCUGAGGCCGCUGUUCCAUGGUGGGCUCCAGGCCCCAAGGAGCCUGCUCUGGGGAGGGCGUGCACUCCAGGCCUUGGUCUCUGGGGGUCUCCUCCUCUUGUGAACCCAAGGCUGACGGUGGCUCCCUGAAAUGCUCCCGUGUGAGAAGGCAGAGACAGGAUGCGUUCUGGUGCAUCCUGGCUGGACCAGGACGGGUAGACGAAGCUGAGAACCUGUCCCCGAAGCUGAGUCACCAGCACGUCCCAGCCAAGCAGCAAGAGUGGCUUUUUGCCUGGGCCCUGUUGGGGAAGGCUGCUCUGUACAUAGUGUUCCCCGUGACGGGGUGGGGGUGGGGGUAUUCAGAUAUUUACAUAUAUAACUAUAUAUACUGGGAUGCCAGAAGAGACCACCACGUCCUAUGGAUUUUCAAACACGGAGUUACUAACGCUUAACUCCCUCCAUCCGACGCGAGCAGGGCCAAGAAUACACUCCAGGUGAACCUGUACCGAGCUCCGGGAAUGAGAGUAUCUGGGUGUGCAGAGCCACUUUCAGUAACAGAAGGUAGGUGGUGGACAAGUAACCUCACUCUUCUGCUACAAGAUGCUGGUCUUCCAGCAGCUCUUACCAAAUGGGCUUUUGCGGCACUCGUCAAACGUUCUAAGACUUUUGUGCCAUAGCGGCAGAAUCUGUGUUCUCUGUCCCCUCUCCUUUGGGUGAAGAUGCCUAAUUGUGAUAUUGGCAGGCUGCGUAGGGACUGCUGGCCCAUCGCGUAUCGGCCUCUGUCCCGGGGCUGGGGCAAGUGGCCCGAGUGGUCACCCUGGGACCAGACAGGCAUGAACCCCUCCCAUGACCUUCCAAGGCUCGAGGCCUCACACCCCACCACUAAUGCUUUGUUCCUGUUCUACUCUCUCUUUUUGGCAGAGGGAAGAGCGACACAAGACUUGAGUCCUUGACUAUAUUGUCAGACACACUACAGGUGGGUAAACUGAGAACUUGGGGCCAUGGUUCUGGCUGAUUCGGGCUGCGUGGGGCUGAGCCUCCUCUGAAGUCCAGGGGUCCUGGACUGUCCAGGCUGGCUCCCCUGCAGAGGGGGCAGCCCCUACUUUAUUAAGGUUUAUACUACAAACUGAGGGUCGACCACUGAUGCCUUUGGAACACUCGGCUUUCCUGACUCACAGAAACCCUGAGGUACAGAAAUCCCAGGGGAACACACUGCACAGUCAUCUGGGGCUAGUCUCUUGUUCUGAUUUUUUUUAUGUGUCUCCCUCCCCGAAAUCCCUCCAACAAAUAAAUACAUGAGCCAGUCCA